rnacentral:rRNA from 1 species
GUCUUUUUGAAUUUUAUUUAAAGUCAAGCCUGCCCAAUGAGGUAUUGAAUGGCCGCAGUAUUUUGACUGUGCAAAGGUAGCAUAAUAAUUAGUUUCUUAAUUAGGGACUGGAAUGAAGGGUUAGACGAGAAAAUAACUGUCUUUAUAUAAAUGAAUUUAUAAUUUUAUUUUUAAGUUAAAAAGCUUAAAUAUUUUUAAAAGACGAGAAGACCCUAUAGAGUUUUAUUAAUAGAUAAUUAAUACUUAAAAUUGAAUUAUUUUAUUAUUAAUUAUUAGUUAAUUUGGUUGGGGUGAUUGAAAAAUUUAAUUAACUUUUUUUUUUAUAAAAACAUUAAUAUAUGAUUUAUUGAUCCAAUUUUUUUGAUUAUAAGAUUAAAUUACCUUAGGGAUAACAGCGUAAUUUCUUUUUAGAGUUCUUAUCGAUAAAGAAGUUUGCGACCUCGAUGUUGGAUUAAAAUUAAUGUUUGGUGUAGUAGCUAAAUUAUUAAGUCUGUUCGACUUUUAAAAUUUUACA